rnacentral:rRNA from 1 species
UACGUAGGUGGCAAGCGUUAUCCGGAAUUAUUGGGCGUAAAGAGCGCGCAGGUGGUUGAUUAAGUCUGAUGUGAAAGCCCACGGCUUAACCGUGGAGGGUCAUUGGAAACUGGUCGACUUGAGUGCAGAAGAGGGAAGUGGAAUUCCAUGUGUAGCGGUGAAAUGCGUAGAGAUAUGGAGGAACACCGGUGGCGAAGGCGGCUUUCUGGCCAGUUACUGACGCUCAUGCGCGAAAGCGGGGGUAGCGAACCGGAUUAGAUACCCUGGUA